GAUGAACGCUGGCGGCGUGCCUAAUACAUGCAAGUCGAGCGAACAGACGAGGAGCUUGCUCCUUUGACGUUAGCGGCGGACGGGUGAGUAACACGUAGGUAACCUACCUAUAAGACUGGGAUAACUUCGGGAAACCGGAGCUAAUACCGGAUAAUAUUUCGAACCGCAUGGUUCGAUAGUGAAAGAUGGCUUUGCUAUCACUUAUAGAUGGACCUGCGCCGUAUUAGCUAGUUGGUAAGGUAACGGCUUACCAAGGCAACGAUACGUAGCCGACCUGAGAGGGUGAUCGGCCACACUGGAACUGAGACACGGUCCAGACUCCUACGGGAGGCAGCAGUAGGGAAUCUUCCGCAAUGGGCGAAAGCCUGACGGAGCAACGCCGCGUGAGUGAUGAAGGUCUUCGGAUCGUAAAACUCUGUUAUUAGGGAAGAACAAACGUGUAAGUAACUGUGCACGGCUUGACGGUACCUAAUCAGAAAGCCACGGCUAACUACGUG
rnacentral:rRNA from 1 species